rnacentral:misc_RNA from 1 species
GACAGAGGGUGCAAGCGUUGUUCGGAAUUAUUGGGCGUAAAGCGCGCGUAGGCGGGUUUUUAAGUCGACUGUGAAAUGCCUUGGCUCAACCGAGGAAGUGCAUUCGAAACUGGCAACCUUGAGUCCCGGAGAGGGUGGUAGAAUUCCCAGUGUAGAGGUGAAAUUCGUAGAUAUUGGGAGGAAUACCGGUGGCGAAGGCGACCGCCUGGACGGAGACUGACGCUGAGGUGCGAGAGCGUGGGUAGCAAACAGG